UGGGGAAUUUUGGACAAUGGGGGAAACCCUGAUCCAGCCAUGCCGCGUGUGUGAAGAAGGCCUUCGGGUUGUAAAGCACUUUCGGACGGAACGAAAUCGCGCGGGUGAAUAUCCCGCGUGGAUGACGGUACCGUAAGAAGAAGCACCGGCUAACUACGUGCCAGCAGCCGCGGUAAUACGUAGGGUGCGAGCGUUAAUCGGAAUUACUGGGCGUAAAGUGUGCGCAGGCGGCGUCGCAAGUCGAGUGUGAAAGCCCCGGGCUUAACUUGGGAAUUGCGCUCGAAACUACGGUGCUGGAGUAUGGCAGAGGAAGGUGGAAUUCCACGUGUAGCGGUGAAAUGCGUAGAGAUGUGGAGGAACACCGAUGGCGAAGGCAGCCUUCUGGGCCAAUACUGACGCUCAUGCACGAAAGCGUGGGGAGCAAACAGG
rnacentral:rRNA from 1 species